UCUAACCCGCUUAAAAUCCUCGGACGAGUGGCCCUUAUCUGCCAGUUGUGAAAACUUCGGGCACACUAAGUAUCCGCUCGUGGAGUUCCAGCUUCUCGUCGACUAGCCCACCGAUGGGAGCUUUACGUGGAACGGAUGAUGGCCUUGCUUAAACGGAGGUUUUCUUAAAAAUUGAUACCUCCAUUAAAUUUAUACCGGUGUCAUCCUCCAUCCGCAGUACUCCGUUUUCAGCCUAGCACAGAGUCGUGCCCCGGCAGCCCUAAAACUAACCCGGAGGGGAAAACACCUGGUACUGAAAUUGCUCACAGUUACACUUCUGGUGUGUGUAGACAGGGCUGAUAAUGAAAGCAAUGGUAGUAUGUCUAUUUUUAGCCUGUGCCAUUCCUUCGGGAUGUCUUUGCCCUGGUGCCUAAAAAAAUAUAGAGAGAGAUUAUUUCUAAUAACCAGGACUUUAUUGUGACAAAAAUCAAGGAAUUCCUAGAAUUCCUAGAUCAGAAUUUGGAGUGCCAAAAGUUUUGACAAAGAUGGAAUAUGGCCUUGACAACUACAGCGCUGUUGGUGAUUUUGUUUCCGUAUCCUCUCUAUCAAAAUACAAAGUGAAAUUUGCACUAACAACUGUUGAUCUUACAAAACGUAGCCUGUUUUAGGUGUGGCCAUAUGCUAGUGAUGCUUCAGAAGAGAUAGGGGCACGCUUCACAUCUGAGGUUUACUUUGCACUGCAUACGAGCACAGUAGCUCUGUCUGACUUCCUGUAUCUCACAUUUUUUGUUUCCACUACGCUUCAGACUGUUUCAUCCUUUAUUCAGGGCAAGCAGGUUAGCAGAAACUCUAGUACUGUAAACAGCUGCCUUCAGCUUUCCUUUCCCACACAGAGGGUAUUGAGAAUUUAGUUAUUACUUUUGCUUGUAAUUUUGCUCCAGAGUAGAUCAGCAGCAGAUGCUUCUGACAUAUUGCCGCUCCAUACUUUGAAAUAACUAUAUGCAUCGCCGUACGCAUGACCUGCAGUUUCGUGUUGAUUCAUCUGGACAGAACUUAUGUUCGAGCAUCAACUCAGGCAUAAAACCUACUUGCCCGCUGUCUUCAAAGAUGAUUGAAGAUGAUAAAAGCCUUGCGAUAAUGUGACUGUUCAGUUUAACCAGACAGUCAGAAUUUUGCAGUGCUCUGCUGCCUAUAUCUGUCUGUUAAACAAAUCCUGUUAAACAGUUUCAGUUUUGUCCUCUUAAUACUGAAAGUGAGGACUGCCAUGAUCCACUCUGAGUGCUAUAGUGCAGUAGAACUUAAUUUAUUCAGUUUUACACUGUCUUUCUACAGGAUCUGUUCCUUUUUCGUUCAGUUUGGAAAUUUAGUUGAAUUGUAAAAUACUAUGUAAAAGGAUUGUAGGUAUUACCUGUUCUUGAGCUAAACUUAUGUUUCUUUGAUCCUUCAUAGCUGAGAUCCUAACGUGUCAAUGUAAGAAUACUCAUCAUCAAAGAAAAGUGGUUUGGCAGCAAUAUGGAAAACGGAAAACUCUACAGAUUCGUUUUAAACAUUGUUGAGUUUUACAUCAGGUCUAUAUGGCAGACUUCUGCUGGCACAGCUCUGUCUGCGAGUGCUGUGACGAAGUGUGACCCGUGACUGACAUAGCUGUGCCAGCAGAAGUCCCAGCUGUAGAUGCAGUUAUCUGCAAAAUUCUGCUUUUACUGAUAUAGCUUGUUUUUGUUUUUAACGGUGUUUUUGCUAUACUGGUAGCUGUGUUUUGCCAGGAAAGCACAACACUCCCAGGGCAGAAGGAGAUCUAGUGUAAUAGUGCAUUUUUUGUCUGACUUGGGAGGGACAACCGAUCCGUUUGUAUUUUACAUGUGUGCUCUCCUCCUCCCGUUCACGGUCAGUAGAAGUUUGGCAACUUUUACAGUGAAAAAUCUCGUGCCGGAGUAAGCGAUGUUAUGACUGCUACUUGUUUUUCCUUUUUUCCAGAGGUGUUUGUAAAACGUUGUUUCAUGUGAUAGGUUGGGAUUUUUUUCAUUCAUAUUUUCAUUGUUUGCCAUUAACUGUCUUACUUUCGUACAAAGCAAGGCAAAUUUGCGAUCAAGUUUGCCCAGUGCAGAAAUAUUUAGUUCCCACACUGACCUUAAAAGAAAUAGACCCCAAAGUGACUCCAAAGGUCUGCAUGGACUCUAGUAAAAUGAAAAAGAACCACUGGAGAAAAAUUCAUUGAUUUGCACACUAGGAAAGAGCUUUUUGAACUCCCAAAGGGCAUGCAAGACACUGAAUGUGAUCUGAUUUGCAGAAUACUGAGAAAGCAAAUAUAUUGGGGGAGUUUGGUAACAUGAGAUAGCACUUCAGAAAACUUCAAAAAGUAAGUUAGAAUCUCUCUCAUGCAUACCUCCUGAAACUAAUUCAGGAGGAUUUGCUGUGGAUUUACUACUUAAAGCAUUAAAUACUAAGCCUCUGCUAAUAUUUCUUUUUUAAAUGGUGUGGUUCUUUUGAUGCCAGCCGCGAUGAAACUUUGUGUACUUGCAACUCGCUUUCUUCAGGCGGUUUCUCCUUCUGUCCUAGGGCAGAUUUGUUAUAGCCAUAAAGAUACUGAUAGCACUUAAA